rnacentral:rRNA from 1 species
UAACAACGAGAACGCAGCGAAAUGCGAUACUUGGUGUGAAUUGCAGAAUCCCGUGAACCAUCGAGUCUUUGAACGCAAGUUGCGCCCGAAGCCAUCCGGCCAAGGGCACGUCUGCCUGGGCGUCACACACC